rnacentral:rRNA from 1 species
UGGGGAAUAUUGGACAAUGGGCGAAAGCCUGAUCCAGCCAUGCCGCGUGUGUGAAGAAGGUCUUCGGAUUGUAAAGCACUUUAAGUAGGGAGGAAGGGCAGUAAGCGAAUACCUUGCUGCUUUGACGUUACCGACAGAAUAAGCACCGGCUAACUCUGUGCCAGCAGCCGCGGUAAUACAGAGGGUGCAAGCGUUAAUCGGAAUUACUGGGCGUAAAGCGCGCGUAGGUGGUUCGUUAAGUUGAAUGUGAAAGCCCCGGGCUCAACCUGGGAACUGCAUCCAAAACUGGCGAGCUAGAGUAGGGCAGAGGGUGGUGGAAUUUCCUGUGUAGCGGUGAAAUGCGUAGAUAUAGGAAGGAAAACCAGUGGCGAAGGCGACCACCUGGGCUCAUACUGACACUGAGGUGCGAAAGCGUGGGGAGCAAACAGG